rnacentral:rRNA from 1 species
AUGCCCCGGAGACUAGCGGCAACUGGAAGCGCGUUGCUUCCCGGUGAGCCACAGGUGCUCCGCACUAUAUAUAUAGUGCGUCUCGCUCCACCCACCUUUAAUUUACUCCCAAACCAAGCCAAACGAAGCAGCGCCGCAGCCCGCAGCGCACCCAUCCCACCAAACAAACAGCUAGCAGGCGAGGCGACCCGCUCCGCCCUCGAGCCGAUGCCGACGCCGUACAGCGCGGCGGCGCUGCAGCAGCACCACCGUCUGGUCUCCUCCUCCGGCGGCCUGGCGACGGCGGCGGCCGCGGGGGCCCACAGGUGCGGCGAGCACGACGGGACGGUGCCGCCGGAGGUGGCGCGGCACCACGAGCACGCGGCGCCGGGGGGCCGGUGCUGCUGCUCGGCGGUGGUGCAGCGCGUGGCGGCGCCCGCCGCCGACGUGUGGGCCGUGGUCCGUCGCUUCGACCAGCCGCAGGCGUACAAGAGCUUCGUGCGCAGCUGCGCGCUGCUGGACGGGGACGGCGGCGUGGGCACGCUGCGGGAGGUGCGCGUGGUGUCGGGCCUCCCCGCGGCGUCGAGCCGGGAGCGGCUGGAGAUCCUGGACGACGAGCGGCACGUGCUGAGCUUCAGCGUGGUGGGCGGCGAGCACCGGCUCCGCAACUACCGGUCGGUGACGACGGUGCACCCGGCGCCCGGGGAGAGCGCGUCGGCGACGCUGGUGGUGGAGUCGUACGUGGUGGACGUGCCCCCCGGGAACACGCCCGAGGACACCCGCGUCUUCGUGGACACCAUCGUCAAGUGCAACCUCCAGUCCCUCGCCCGCACCGCCGAGAAGCUCGCCGGCCGAGGGCCCGCGUACGGCGCGCUGCCGUGA